AACAAGCCUGGUCCUAACUUUUACAUCAAUUAUGGUCCGAAUUACACAUGCAAGUACCCGCAACCCUGUGAGAAUGCCCAAAACUUUCAUUAUGAAGAAAAGGAGCUGGCAUCAGGCACAACCUAAAAGUUAGCCCAAAACGCCUUGCUUAGCCACACCCUCAAGGGAACUCAGCAGUGAUAAACAUUAAGCAAUGAGCGAAAGCUCGACUUAAUCAAGACUAAAUAGAGCCGGUAAAACUCGUGCCAGCAACCGCGGUUAUACGAGGGGCUCAAGUUGAUAGCUUACGGCGUAAAGAGUGAUUAAAUUUUAUACUAAAAUUAAGGCCGAAUAUCUCCUACACUGUUAUACGUUUACAGAGACAAGAAGCCCCACAACGAAAGUAGCCUUAAAUAUAUUGAACUCACGAGUAUUAAGAAACAAACUGGGAUUAGAUACCCCACUAUGCUUAAUUGUAAACGAAGACGGCAAAAUACAAAAACCGUCCGCCAGGGGACUACGAGCAUCAGCUUAAAACCCAAAGGACUUGGCGGUGCCUCACACCCACCUAGAGGAGCCUGUUCUAUAACCGAUACCCCCCGUUAAACCUCACCACCCCUUGUAUAAAUCAGCCUAUAUACCGCCGUCGCCAGCCUACUCCGUGAGGACACAGUAGUAAGCAAAAUAGAAAACUUUCAAAUACGUCAGGUCAAGGUGUAGCAAAUGGAGUGGGAAGAAAUGGGCUACAUUUUCUGACUCAGAACACUACGAAAAGUGCAAUGAAAAAACACAAUGAAGGUGGAUUUAGCAGUAAAAAGAAAGCAGAGAGUUCUUUUGAAGGCGGCUCUGAGGCGCGUACACACCGCCCGUCAUUCUCCUCAAAAAACACUAACAAAUUUAUAAACCCAUAACAAAACUAAAGAGGAGGCAAGUCGUAACAUGGUAAGUGUACCGGAAGGUGCACUUGGAAAAAUU
rnacentral:ncRNA from 1 species